GGCAAUGUCCCGAAGACAAUCGAGCGAGUCGCUAUAUCCGGUUAAAUUCCGAAGAUUUUGGCUCGUCAGCUAUCGGACUCGGGAUUUUUGGAAGUCGAAGUCUCCCACACUAUCAAAGCCCCCUUUUUGGUACAAUUUUGGUUGAGCUUUGAAAUGGCAUGUAUAGGACUACCCUUUGUUGUUUUUCAAGUACUUUUUGUGAUGUAUGUGUAUGCGGCCAUGCGAAAAUGGCUCGUAGAAGUGGAGUAUGGCAUUAGACCAUUUGUGUUUAUGUAUAUAUGUAUGGUUUCAUGAUGUGACUAUGGACUGGAAUGGAAGUGUUGGGCAAAUGAUCAGCCAUUGGAAUGGCUAAAAA